CUAAUGCGCUUACAAGCAGCAUUCAAAAUACAGCAAUUUGAAGCUCAGCUGCUUACCUUCUAAGGCAGCCCCAGGGACGGAAGAUCUUUGCAGGCCUGAAGCAGGAAUCAAUCCUAAAGUUGGAAAUAACCUUGGAGGUCAUCUAGUCCAACCCCCUGGUUAGCGCAGGAAUUAUCAGAUCAUCCUGGACAAAUGGCUGUCUAACCUUUGCUUGAAAACCUUCAGUGUGGAGCCUCCAUGAUGCCAGGAGAGAAACUGUUCCCUUCUUCACAAUUCCCACUGUCAGGAAUUCCUCCUUACUUUGAAUUUGGUUUUCUCUUUACUAAACCUCUUGUUAGUGAUGGAUUGCCACCGGUUUGCACCGGUUCGGGCGAACCAGUAGUAGCGGCGGCAGGAGGCUCUGCCCACCCGCCCGGACAUCAUCAAAUAGGCUCUGCGCGAGCGAACCAGUAGCAAAGAAGCGUUUAAACUACGAAGAAAGAAUGGCUGGCAGGUUACUUGGACUGGAGAACGCUGCAUCUGUGUUUGUAUCACAGAAUGAACAAAAUGCAGAGGACACACAAUUAAGCCUUUCUCCAUUUUUAAGCGCUGUUGUUCUGUCACACUAAACACGGCCUUUGGCGAAAGGGCAAAAUCAUACCAAACCAAACCCCACGCGUUCUAUAAUUAGUACGGACCUUCAGAUUAGAAAUCAAAUGUAACGGGAUUGUAAUUCCGUGACCUUGAGACUAGGAACCUCUUAAAAUACUCAUUAAAAAAAACCCACAGGGAGCUGUUUGUUGAGAAGUCUUGUUUUGUUUCUCAUCCACACCUUUUAAAUGCCAGAACAUGCUAAAAUCAAGGCCUUCGGGAUUUCAGAAACAAACUCACAUAUCUGGCAGAGAAUCCUAACCUCCCCAAAGAAUAGGAUCUUACUAGAAUUUGUAUGAUUUAUAGUAACAACUUCGGCGUCAUUAAUUGAAAACCAGUAAGCUGCAGCCCUUGAAGGAAGGUUAGAAGGUUUGAAGUGUU